rnacentral:rRNA from 1 species
GAUGAACGCUAGCUACAGGCUUAACACAUGCAAGUCGAGGGGAAACGACAUCGAAAGCUUGCUUUUGGUGGGCGUCGACCGGCGCACGGGUGAGUAACGCGUAUCCAACCUGCCCACCACUUGGGAAUAACCUUGCGAAAGUAAGACUAAUACCCGAUGAUAUCCCACGAAGGCAUCCGAAUGGGAUUAAAGAUUUAUCGGUGAUGGAUGGGGAUGCGUCUGAUUAGCUUGUUGGCGGGGUAACGGCCCACCAAGGCAACGAUCAGUAGGGGUUCUGAGAGGAAGGUCCCCCACAUUGGAACUGAGACACGGUCCAAACUCCUACGGGAGGCAGCAGUGAGGAAUAUUGGUCAAAUGGGCGAGAGCCUGAACCAGCCAAGUAGCGUGCAGGAUGACGGCCCUAUGGGUUGUAAACUGCUUUUAUAAGGGAAUAAAGUGGGUCUCGUGAGACUUUUUGCAUGUACCUUAUGAAUAAGGACCGGCUAAAUUCCGUG